rnacentral:pre_miRNA from 1 species
UGAAGCUUUAAAUGUGCAAUUGCUGAGCUCCUUGUAUUUAUAUAUAUGCAAAUACAAGGAGCUCAGCAAUUGCACAUUUAAAGCUUCACUGCAA